rnacentral:tRNA from 1 species
UCAGGGGUAGUCUACACCAGACAUUUGAUUUCGACUCAAAAGACCUUACACAAAUAAGUCCCUGCA